rnacentral:rRNA from 1 species
UGGGGAAUAUUGCACAAUGGGGGAAACCCUGAUGCAGCGACGCCGCGUGAGCGAAGAAGGUUUUCGAAUCGUAAAGCUCUGUCCUAUGAGAAGAUAAUGACGGUAUCAUAGGAGGAAGCCCCGGCUAAAUACGUGCCAGCAGCCGCGGUAAUACGUAUGGGGCGAGCGUUGUCCGGAAUUAUUGGGCGUAAAGGGUACGUAGGCGGUCUAUUAAGUCAGGUGUGAAAGCGUGAGGCUUAACCUCAUUAAGCACUUGAAACUGAUAGACUUGAGUGAAGGAGAGGAAAGUGGAAUUCCUAGUGUAGCGGUGAAAUGCGUAGAUAUUAGGAGGAAUACCGGUGGCGAAGGCGACUUUCUGGACUUUUUCUGACGCUGAGGUACGAAAGCGUGGGGAGCAAACAGG